GACGAACGCUGGCGGCGUGCUUAACACAUGCAAGUCGAACGGAAAGGCCCCUUUGGGGGUACUCGAGUGGCGAACGGGUGAGUAACACGUGAGUAACCUGCCCUUGACUUCGGGAUAACUUCAGGAAACUGGGGCUAAUACCGGAUAGGAAUCCUUGCUGCAUGGUGGGGGUUGGAAAGCUUCGGCGGUUUUGGAUGGACUCGCGGCUUAUCAGCUUGUUGGUGGGGUAGUGGCUUAUCAAGGCUUUGACGGGUAGCCGGCCUGAGAGGGCGACCGGCCACAUUGGGACUGAGAUACGGCCCAGACUCCUACGGGAGGCAGCAGUGGGGAAUAUUGCACAAUGGGCGGAAGCCUGAUGCAGCAACGCCGCGUGCGGGAUGACGGCCUUCGGGUUGGAAACCGCUUUCAGCAGGGGCGAAGCUUGUGGUGACGGUACCUGCAGAAGAAGCACCGGCUAACUACGUG
rnacentral:rRNA from 1 species